rnacentral:rRNA from 1 species
UAUACAAGGUGCUGCAUGGUUGUCGUCAGCUCGUGCCGUGAGGUGUCGGGUUAAGUCCCAUAACGAGCGCAACCCCUAUCAUUAGUUGCCAUCAGGUCAAGCUGGGGACUCUAAUGAAACUGCCUACGCAAGUAGUGAGGAAGGUGGGGAGUGACGUCAAAUCAGCACGGCCCUUACGUCCAGGGCUACACACGUGCUACAAUGGCCGGUACAAAGGGCAGCUACCUGGUGACAGGAUGCUAAUCUCAAAAGCCGGUCUCAGUUCGGAUCGGAGUCUGCAACCCGACUCCGUGAAGUUGGAUUCGCUAGUAAUCGCGCAUCAGCCAUGGCGCGGUGAAUACGUUCCCGGGCCUU